rnacentral:rRNA from 1 species
UGCCGGUGACAAACCGGAGGAAGGUGGGGAUGACGUCAAGUCCUCAUGGCCCUUAUGGGUAGGGCUUCACACGUCAUACAAUGGURCAUACAGAGGGYYGCCAAUCCGCGAGGGGGAGCUAAUCCCAGAAARUGUAUCGUAGUCCGGAUCGCAGUCUGCAACUCGACUGCGUGAAGYUGGAAUCGCUAGUAAUCGCGGAUCAGCAUGCCGCGGUGAAUA